GAUCAUGGCUCAGGAUGAACGCUAGCGGCAGGCUAACACAUGCAAGUCGAGGGGCAGCGGGAUGUAGCAAUACAUUGCCGGCGACCGGCGGAUGGGUGCGUAACGCGUAUGCAACCUACCUUAUACAGGGGAAUAACCUUUCGAAAGGGAGACUAACACCCCAUAGUAUUGAUUUAAGGCAUCUUAGAUUAAUUAAAUAUUUAUAGGUAUAAGAUGGGCAUGCGUAUGAUUAGCUAGUUGGUAAGGUAACGGCUUACCAAGGCGACGAUCAUUAGGGGUUCUGAGAGGAAGGUCCCCCACACUGGUACUGAGACACGGACCAGACUCCUACGGGAGGCAGCAGUGAGGAAUAUUGGUCAAUGGGCGCAAGCCUGAACCAGCCAUGCCGCGUGCAAGGAAGACGGCCUUAUGGGUUGUAAACUGCUUUUACAUAAGACUAACCGUAUAUUUGCGAAUAUACCUGAAUGUAUUAUGAGAAUAAGGAUCGGCUAACUCCGUGCCAGCCGCGGC
rnacentral:rRNA from 1 species